CCAGAAGUUCAGUCGGUUAGAAUACCGGCCUGUCACGCCGGGGGUCGCGGGUUCGAGUCCCGUCCGCUGCGCCA
rnacentral:tRNA from 1 species